GAUGAACGCUAGCGGCAGGCCUAAUACAUGCAAGUCGAACGGUGUCUUCGGACAUAGUGGCGCACGGGUGCGUAACACGUAUGCAACCUACCUUACAUUGGGGGAUAGCCUUUCGAAAGGGAGAUUAAUACCGCAUAAGACAGUAGCUGGGCAUCCAGCAGCUGUUAAAGAUUUAUCGAUGUAAGCUGGGCAUGCGUCCAAUUAGCUAGUUGGUGAGGUAACGGCUCACCUAGGCAAUGAUUGGUGGGGGAACUGAGAGGUCAAUCCCCCACACUGGCACUGAGAUACGGGCCAGACUCCUACGGGAGGCAGCAGUAGGGAAUAUUGGGCAAUGGACGCAAGUCUGACCCAGCCAUGCCGCGUGCAGGAUGAAGGCGUUAUGCGUUGUAAACUGCUUUUAUACAGGAAGAAACGACUCUUGCGAGAGGCAUUGACGGUACUGUAUGAAUAAGCACCGGCUAACUCCGUGCCAGCAGCCGCGGUAAUAC
rnacentral:rRNA from 1 species